rnacentral:rRNA from 1 species
CCCUUAGAUGUUCUGGGCCGCACGCGUGCUACACUGAGUGGAUCAGCGGGUCAGGUUGCGCGAAAGCGUUUCCUAAUCUUGAAAUCCGCUCGUGAUGGGGAUUGACGGUUGCAAUUUUCUGUCAUGAACGAGGAAUACCUUGUAAGCGCGAGUCAUCAUCCCGCGCUGAAUACGUCCCUGCCCUUUGUACACACCGCCCGUCGCUCCUACCGAUUGAGUGGUCCGGUGAGGCUUUGGGAUCUGAGCGGAAAGAGCGUUUCGCUCGUUCUGCCCGGAAAACGCAGUCGAACCUUAUCAUUUAGAGGAAGGAGAAGUCGUAACA